rnacentral:lncRNA from 1 species
ACCCCAAUCGCCUAAAAUUAUUCUUGGCCAUCAAAUACGACCUAAGGAACCAUAGUCACCGCCUCGCUAUGGCCGUUCUUCAUUGGUUUGCGUUUUACGGCCAAAAAAUAGAAUUUCGCCCGAUUUCCAUAUUUUUAUGUGCUAAACCCACGCCCUCUAAGUGGGUCCGGGCCCCCGGACCUCGAUUGCCUAAAAUAAUUCCAAGCGAUCAAAUAUGACCUAAGGAACCAUAGUCACCGCCCCUCCAUGGCCGUUCCUCGUUGUUUUGCAUUUUAUUGCCAAAAAACUAGAAUUUCGCCUGAUUCCUAUAUAUUCGUGUGCUAUAGCCCACGCCUUCCGAGUGGGAUCGGGCCCCCAUACCCCGGUUGCCUAAACUUUUUCCGAGCCACCAAAUAAAACCUAAGGAAC